rnacentral:rRNA from 1 species
UACGUAGGGGGCAAGCGUUGUCCGGAUUUACUGGGCGUAAAGCGCGCGUAGGCGGACGCUUAAGUGUGGCCUGAAGGCCCCCGGCUCAACCGGGGAGGGCGGCUGCAAACUGGGCGCUUGAGGGCGAUAGAGGUCGGUGGAAUUCCUGGUGUAGCGGUGAAAUGCGUAGAGAUCAGGAGGAACACCCGUGGCGAAGGCGGCCGACUGGGUCGGACCUGACGCUGAGGCGCGAAAGCGUGGGGAGCGAACGGG